rnacentral:lncRNA from 1 species
AGAAAGAUAGAAUAUUUGACACCAAUAAAAAAUUGCAGCGAAUAUAUAGAGAAGCUUACUAAUAUGAAGCUAGUUUUUAAAAGGAAAAAUGUAGUUUUCAGUAUGUUGCGCAAUGACAAACCGAUGAUUAAUAUGGAGAGUAGGUCGGGAAUGUACAAAAUUCCUUUAAAAAAUAUGGACUUGAGAAGAGAUGAAAUAUAUAUUGGUUCAACGAAUAGGUCCUUAAUAGCACAUAUCAAGGAACACAAAAAUGACAUAAAAAUUAGGUUCGUUCAACACAGCGCUGGCGACUACAGCAUAUGAACAUGAUAUUGAUAUAGAGUGGAACAAUGCGAAGAUUAUUAUGAGUGCAAUGGAAAAUACCAACAUAAGGAGAU